CCGUGAAAACUCACAGCUUAACUGUGGGCGUGCGGGCGAUACGGGCAGACUGGAGUACUGCAGGGGAGACUGGAAUUCCUGGUGUAGCGGUGGAAUGCGCAGAUAUCAGGAGGAACACCGGUGGCGAAGGCGGGUCUCUGGGCAGUAACUGACGCUGAGGAGCGAAAGCGUGGGGAGCGAACAGGAUUAGAUACCCUGGUAGUCCACGCCGUAAACGGUGGGUACUAGGUGUGGGUUUCCU
rnacentral:rRNA from 1 species